rnacentral:lncRNA from 1 species
CUAGGCACAAAAAACUACAACUCAAAUUAGCAGGGAAAGAGAUGAUAGUGUUCAGCAAUGCAGAAACUCAAGCAGACAUCCAACCUUGAACAGGCUGUCACAUUUCUAUAACAGAACCAUUCAAAUAGACAUUUAGACUCAGAAAAUUAACUCGAGAUCUUGACUUAAAUAAAAACUCGACAUCAUAUUAGAAAUUAAACCAUAAGCAUAGACGACGACCCUUCAAACUUCGCUUUUACUGACUGAACAUACUCAACUACAUCACACCACUGCGAAGAGAUUCACCAGGAAUAAAUUCGAUCAUAACACAAAACAAACAACUAUAAACUGAAUUUCAUGGCUCAAAAGCACCAGAACAAAAUGGAGUCGCAUAGAAUAAAAGAGAGAAAAAUUGAACCUGAAUUUGCAAAUCUCUUUUAUAACAAUAUAAACUCGACAAGGCGACAGUAUAAAACCAAGCUCGAACUUUAAUGUGUACUCCUUGAAACUCACAUCCGGAUUCAAAAAUAAUAUAUAUAUAUAUAUAUAUAUUUCUGUUAAACUUUGAAAGAACUCUUCAGAAAAAGAAAUGGAAUCGGAAAACCAGAAAAAAUCAAAGCCUUUCAAAUUUUCUCUAAAUAUUUUGUUCUCUUCUCUCAAAAUCGGAACUGGCCCUAUUUUAAAACGAAUCCCUUGAUGAACGUAGGGCUCAGGUUGAAUGAACUCAAUCCAAUGUUCACACUCAUCCAGCGAAUCUUCUCCAGAACCUUCCAAUUUGUGAGGUAUAUCUAAUUCGAGCGGUGACAGAGGAGAGGAAUCUUGCGUCAGAAACCGUUAGAACUGUAAGAGAAGGAAUUGGGGAACGUGUGGUUGAGGGUUUGAGCUUCACUUGCCUGAACUUGGACUGCGUUGGGGCUUGGUUCGAAUGGGAACGAUGGCUGAACAGGGAGUCGUGUUUGUUCUCUUGAGAUAUUAGAGCUCCGUCUAUUUGUUUUGUGCCUGUCGGUGCAUUUGGUAGAG